GGAAAUGGUGAUAUUGUGUAUGUGGAAAAAGUUUUAGAUCUUUGAGUUCAUCUCAUACAAAAUGGGAACAAAACCAAAAGUGUUGCGUUUAUAUUUUUGUUGAGUGUAUAUUAAAAAAUUCUUGUAAAUGAUGCAGUUGUCAAAGGAGACGAGAGCACUCAGAAGCUUAAUUGUUAAAGUUUUAAUAUGUCAUUUAAAAAAAACUUGUUCUUUAGGUGGUACUGUUCACUCGAUUUGGAUGUAAUUACUCUCAAAGCUCAGUCUGUUGUUCUUACUGUUAGCUUUGAACGCUGACGCUAAGCUAUAAUAGCGAGCUACAAAACAACGUUAAUGUUCAAAUAUGGAACUGCAGCGAGUUAUUGUCCAGUAUCAGGUUCUUAAUAGUAAUGUGAGUUGGAGAUUCUGUGCUAACAGUGUCGGGUUCACAUUUAAUGAUGUUUGAUUUAAAUACCACACAUUUAAAUACCACACACACACACACACACACACACACACACACACACACACACACACACACACACACACACACACACACACACCAGUGUGUCCACAUAGAUUCCAGGCCUAAUUUUCAAUCUGACUCUGCAUUCAUGGUUCAGUAAUGGAGCCCUUGAAAUUUCCAUCAGGAAUAUGAAUGUAAAGAAAGUAACAAUACAAAAAUGAUGUACAAUUAGAAAUACAGUAUUAUGGGACAGAGCUUCCAUGACAUUUCUAAAUGCUCCGUACUGUGAGCAGGAAUGUGGUGGAGCUGAUGACAGAACCUCCUCUUCCUCCAGGUCCCACAUCAGUCUGUGCUGGACUUGUCUGCAGCUCGUGGUGGGUUGUCCUCAGCCUUCCCCUGUAUUUUUUCCUUUGUGUUUUUUUAAUACCUCUGUGUUUGCUUCUUGGAGUGUUUGAUUGUUGUGUUGAGCACCUUCUAUCUGUGUAUUCUGACUUUAGUUUUCUCUCCUGAAUCCUGCAGCACUGCACAAAAUAUUUUUUUUUUUUUAAUGAGAAUUGUAUUCAAGGAGAUGAGGUUUUCUUUGUGCCAGUGGCACAAUCA